AUAUAAAUAAAAGAAGCCGCGAACUAUCCUAUAAGAAUAAUAACACUUUAUUCUACUCUC
rnacentral:tRNA from 1 species